UCAAUGGGUAUGUAUAUCCGAAAUAUUACCUGAACCCGAACGGGACGGGUUUAUUCGAGCUAAACGGGUAUGGAUUUGGUUACGAGUAUAGAAAAUAAAAACCUGACGGAUAUGGAUACGGGUAUGGAUUUUGUAUUUACCCGACCCGAACCCGAAUCCGAAUAAAUUAUAUAUAUACAUACUUUAUUUUUUUUUAUUUAUAUAAUAUAUAAAAUAUUUAAUAAUUUUUAUUCUUUAGAUUUUUAUUUAACGGUAUGGAUUUUUAAAACCGGCCGGGUCCGGGUCCGGGUCCGG
rnacentral:lncRNA from 1 species